GAGCGUAGAAGUCCACCAUCCACGUCUCCGACGACUUGCGUCUCUUCACCAGCUCCUGAAAUGACUCUGGAGUCAAAGUCACCACCACAGGGUUCACCAGGUCCUGCAGAACACGCAAUCAUCUAUUACAUCUAAACAGAUCAUUUCUCACCCUCCUAAGCUUGAUGAAUCAACCAUUGGCAGGAAGUUACCAUGGCAAUGCCAUACAAGAUGUGGAUGACUUUAUUUCUUCAUUGGAACAAACUGAGAAAAAUCAACAUUACCAGUGGAUCAUCUGCAGUGAAUGGGUGCCGUCAGAAUGAGAGCAGAACAAGUCCAAACAGCGGAUAAAACCACAAUAAUCCAGAUCGAUCCAUAAAUAUGAUCCAGCGAUGCGAUACUAAACUUCUCCAAAUCAGUUCUGACAAACUCAUCUAUAUCUCGGACGACCCGAAGGUCCCUACCGUGACGCUGCCUUUCUGAGCAAGAGAACUGCCAGGGGGAAAGAGGGCAGUAGUGCUAGUGGUGAUCUCAAAGCUGUCACACAGAUCUGCCUGUUUGGAGCAGUCCAUCCAUCCGACAUUGACCAGACCGUCCUGUUGAGAGAAACAAAUAGAGGGAUCCUGCAGUCGAGGAGGCUGCAUUUAUUGAAACUAUUCAAGUUCGUCACGUCCCAGAUUAAACUGUUUACUAGCGUUACUAUACCCGCUGUGGAAGAGGUGAUGCUAAUGCCUUGUGUGCUUUUACUCCAUCAACACCAUCAGGAACAAAUGUGUAGGAUCCACGGACGUGAGAGUCAGAACCCCAUCUGGAGAUCAGCGUCUUUGAGACCUCUGGCACUGACCAG